rnacentral:misc_RNA from 1 species
AAGUCGUAACAAGGUUUCCGUAGGUGAACCUGCGGAAGGAUCAUUAACACGUGACUCUUCACGUACUAACAAACCGCGAACUGUUUACUCUUUGUCCAAUUGUUGAUGCAGGUGAUGAGUGAGGAAGGGUGUGAAGAGCUGAAAGGUUCUUCCUACUCACGAGUCUGCGGUCCUUCAUUCAUUUGAAGAGAUCGAGCUUGCGUUAGCAGUUGUGGAUUCAGAUUUCGGCUGACGGCCGGCACCUUGGCUUGCAGUCGGAGUUGCCCUUUUUCUUCUAUUUUACUUUUCUUUAUUAUUUCUGAAAACACGUACAUUCAAGCGAAUUCCUGGGUAACUGGUCGAGUUUGUGCGAGUGUCGAAACACACAAUACGAAACAACUCUUAGCAACGGAUAUCUUGGUUCUC